UCUUUUAUUUUAGCUCAUGAAACAUGGGACCAACAACUUUACAUGUUGCAUUUAUAUUUCUGUUCUGUGUAUGCUGGAAAACAUUUCAAUAACUUUUCAGGGCCCUCAAUUCUGCUUUCCAGCUCUUUCCUUGUAACUUCAUUCUUUAUGGUGGGACGUUUGCCCAGGUUGAAGUUGAGGAUCGACGGCACCUCACAGACCACUAAAAGGACAAGUCAAUUAAGAACAAAUUCUUAUUUACAAUGACGUCCUAGAAACAGUGGGUUAAGUGCCUUGUUCAGAACGACACAUUUUUACCUUGUCAGCUGGCAAGCUUUUGGUUACUGGCCCAAUGCUCCAACACCUAGGCUAUCAUCCUCCAACAGUAACUAAACUUUGCAGCUUACCACAUACUACCUGUGGUCUGAAAGAAGCAUUUUGAAGCUGAGCUCUGUUUAUCACCAGGGGAAUGGAGCCAGCGGACAUUUUGGACCCUUUUGUCCAGGCCACCGCCCUUAUUCAGGGGGAGAAAGUGGUGGCUCAGUGCUGCCCUUCCUUGUGUACUGUCACUCUACCAUCUGCAAAGUAUACUGAGCACAAGUCGUCACCUAGUCAGUCUAGUAAAAGCACUGCAGCAGUCACUCAAACGCCGAUUCCAGGGGUUGUUUGUGAAUGUCAGAAUGGAGCACUUGGAUGAACAGGCAACAAAACUUCCAUUUGGUGACCAUGUAUACAUAAUGGCUGCACUGCUGGACCUUUCAAUUCCGCCUGUACUGGCUUGAUCAUGAUGCCUUCCUCAUACCAUAUGAAGAUCAAGCUGAAUUGAAGGAGUGUGAUUGGUAGGGACAAUGCAUCACCGUUACAGAGAGCAGUAGCCAAAGAACAGCCACCACCACCUGCCAAAAAGGAAGUCUUCAAAUAAUUUACACGGUUUAUAGACCUAACCAACAGCAGGCAGAAAGCCAUUGCCAAAAGGGACUUGAAACUUGACUUAGACUUGGCCCUAAAAGACUUGACUUGGACUCUACCUCAAAGACUUGUGAACAUCUCUGCUAGUUAUUUCAACAUGUUUAGACCUACUGGAAUAUUAAGUGCAAGAUUUAGGCCUAUGGCUCAUAGACACAACUAGAUCUGUUAUUAGGGUGAGUGAGGGUAGUUGUUUGACUACUAGUCUAUCAUUGCACAGCUGUCUCUUGUAGAAAUGUUGACCGCUUCUCAGGGGACUUUGUUGCCGAACCGAUGAGUGAUAAACUGCACUGACUCACUGUCGGGAAUUGGAGAAGUCUUCUGAAAGAUACUGGAGGAGCAAGGUUUUGACAAAAAAUGGGCAGCUCUCUGAAGUUCGCAUUGAGUUUGCCUUGGCAAAUGGGGACUUUUAGGCCCCAUUGUAAAAGGGCCUUUGUGGUCCUGGGUCAGUUCCUGCUGCUGCGGAAGGACGGGGAGCUGUUCGCGGAGUGGUUGAAGGUCACUAGCGGAGCCAACACCAGGAAUGCUGCAUCCUGCUCCCAGUGCCUGAACGAGUGGUGUGAUGUAUUCCUAUGAGACUGGGGAUAUGCUGCUCCCCAAUGUCAUGUUGAAGAUCAAUUCUGUUUUAUAGUGAAAAUAUGUCAGUGGUAUAGGCUAUGGCUUGUCUGAGCAGAAU